GUAGGUGGCGAGCGUUAUCAGGAUUUACUGGGCGUAAAGCGCGUGCAGGGCGGGUUCCGUAAGUCGGACGUGAAAGCUCCUGGCUUAACUGGGAGAGGCCCGUUCGGUACUGCGGGACUUGAGGUCGGGAGAGGGACGUGGGAUUCCCGGUGUAGUGGUGGAAUGCGUAGAUAUCGGGAGGAACACCAGUGGCGAAGGCGGCGUCCUGGCCCGCACCUGACGCUAAGACGCGAAAGCGUGGGUAGCGAACGGGAUUAGAUACCCCGGUAGUCCACGCCGUAAACGGUGGAUACUAGGUGUUGGUGGCUAUCGUCAUCAGUGCCGUAGCUAACGCGUUAAGUAUCCCGCCUGGGGACUACGGCCGCAAGGCUA
rnacentral:rRNA from 1 species